rnacentral:lncRNA from 1 species
CUAACACAAAAAAUACCAAAAUCCCAUAUGGCGGAAUCACAUAAAUAACUGAAAAAUAGUGAGCUUUUACCUAGUUAAUGAUACAAAGGAGUCAUGGAAAGCUGUGACAGACAAUUCCAUUGAUUUGCUAGUCGUUUAUUGCCGAUGCAGCAUCAUCAAGAUUCUCACCACCAAAAAGCUAUGGCAGUGAGAGAUAGAGGAGAGAGACGAAAUCACCACCUUGCAUUUCAUGUGAAUCUUGAUGAUGCUGCACCAGCAAACGACGACUGUUGACAAGCCGUUUCAACUAUAAGUGCCUCCGAGUUCUACUGAGAACGAUUGAAGUUGAACAAUAGAGUUGAGUCAAUAUUCAUCCAAAAUCUUCAUUUGCUCGAUCUUGAUUUCCGACCAAUUAUAUAAGAGUAUGCAAAAUAUCACCAAGAUAUUGAGUUCUGAAAAAUCUUGCAGAGUAAGUUUUAUGUGCGGGUGUGGGUGUUCAAACACCCGUCACUCAUAGAAAUCAGCUGGCAAGAAAGCCACCAGCAUGAGGCUGAUGUGGCCCAUUAUCAAUGAAUAAGCCACAAAAGAACAAAAAUAAAAACCCCUUUUUCAAUAACUUUGGAUAUAAUUUAAAUAACAUAUUUUUUAAAUUGCUUUAAUAUAUAUCUCUAUCACAGAAAAUGACUACAAAAAAGUAACCUAUUAAUAAAACGCAGAAGUUCUUAAUAUGUAUCGAAUAUCGUGUUGAUUCCAGCAUCGAUUAAAACUUAUCUUCUUUUGUUGGAUAAGUUAAAUUAAUCCACCGAGAAAAGACAAGGUUUUUAUAUACUAACUCGCAGAAAUAUGAAUUUCUGAAAAAAAAAAAACAAAAAAAAAAAAAAAGCAAAAAAAAAAAAACCAAAACAGAACAAAAGGAGUAUCUGAAGAGGAUCAACUAUCCGUUCUCAAUUCCGGAUAAAGAAGGAAGGUUUAAAAGGCUAGUGAAUCCGAUCUAAAGAAGAUGGUAAAAAAAAAAUACGCAGUGAAUAAAAAUUCAGAUGUUUGCUCAGCUAACUAGUCAUAGUAGAAAUUCAAUAUCAUAUAUGAAAAAAUUACAUAAAAGAACAAGAGUCGACAAGCCUGAUGUGUAACUCUCUUCUGGUGUGUCUGUGUUUGAGAGAGGGAGAGGGAGAGGGAAAGGGAGAGGAAGAAA